UACGAAGGUGGCAAGCGUUACUCGGAAUUACUAGGCGUAAAGGGCAGGUAGGUGGUCUGAUAAGUCUGUUGUGAAAGCUCCCGGCUUAACUGGGAGAGGCCAACGGAAACUAUCAGGCUUGAGUAUGGGAGAGGGUACUGGAAUUCCCGGUGUAGCGGUGAAAUGCGCAGAGAUCGGGAGGAACACCAAUGGCGAAAGCAGGUACCUGGACCAUUACUGACACUCAGCUGCGAAAGCUAGGGGAGCAAACAGGG
rnacentral:rRNA from 1 species